rnacentral:rRNA from 1 species
GAACUAUUAAAGAAUUUCGGUCAUCGAUGGGGAUGCGUUCCAUUAGGUUGUUGGCGGGGUAACGGCCCACCAAGCCUUCGAUGGAUAGGGGUUCUGAGAGGAAGGUCCCCCACAUUGGAACUGAGACACGGUCCAAACUCCUACGGGAGGCAGCAGUGAGGAAUAUUGGUCAAUGGACGAGAGUCUGAACCAGCCAAGUAGCGUGAAGGAUGACUGCCCUAUGGGUUGUAAACUUCUUUUAUACGGGAAUAAAGUGAGGCACGUGUGCCUUUUUGUAUGUACCGUAUGAAUAAGGAUCGGCUAACUCCGUGCCAGCAGCCGCGGUAAUACGGAGGAUCCGAGCGUUAUCCGGAUUUAUUGGGUUUAAAGGGAGCGUAGGCGGACGCUUAAGUCAGUUGUGAAAGUUUGCGGCUCAACCGUAAAAUUGCAGUUGAUACUGGGUGUCUUGAGUACAGUAGAGGCAGGCGGAAUUCGUGGUGUAGCGGUGAAAUGCUUAGAUAUCACGAAGAACUCCGAUUGCGAAGGCAGCUUGCUGGACUGUAACUGACGCUGAUGCUCGAAAGUGUGGGUAUCAAACAGGAUUAGAUACCCUGGUAGUCCACACAGUAAACGAUGAAUACUCGCUGUUUGCGAUAUACAGUAAGCGGCCAAGCGAAAGCGUUAAGUAUUCCACCUGGGGAGUA